rnacentral:rRNA from 1 species
UACGUAGGGUGCGAGCGUUAAUCGGAAUUACUGGGCGUAAAGCGUGCGCAGGCGGUUUUGUAAGACAGGCGUGAAUCCCCGGGCUCAACCUGGGAAUGGCGCUUGUGACUGCAAAGCUGGAGUGCGGCAGAGGGGGAUGGAAUUCCGCGUGUAGCAGUGAAAUGCGUAGAUAUGCGGAGGAACACCGAUGGCGAAGGCAAUCCCCUGGGCCUGCACUGACGCUCAUGCACGAAAGCGUGGGGAGCAAACAGG